GGUGAUGUGGUGUAGGGGUAGCAUGCGUCGUUGUGGAGUAUCCACAACACCAAUCCGAGAUUGGUUGUUUGCUGAGGAUGAUCACAAUGCCGACUCGACCUGGGUUCGAUUCCCAGCAUCGCCA